GGCUCUGUGGUCUAAACGGAAUGAUACUCGCUUUGGGUUAAUCCUUAAGCCUCGUGAGCGAGUGGUCCCGGGUUCGAAUCCCGGCAGAGCCC